rnacentral:rRNA from 1 species
UUUUUUGUAUUUUAAUAAAAAAUUUUUUUUGCUCAAUGAUUUUAAAUAGCCGCGGUAAUUUGACUGUGCAAAGGUAGCAUAAUCAUUUGCCUCAUAAUUAGGGGCUUGUAUGAAUGGGAUGACGAGAAAGAUACUUUUUUGGGAAAGAGUAAAAAAUUUGUUUUUUUAGUGAAGAAACUAAGAUUUAAAAAUAGGACAAGAAGACCCUUUUGAUCUUUACUACUCAUAGUUUUUUAAACUUUAGGUAGUUUGGUUGGGGCGAUCGAGGAAAGUUUUUCUUCCUUUAUAAAUUUUGAUCCAAAUUUUUUGAUUUUAAGAGUAAGUUACCAAAGGGAUAACAGCGUAAUUUUUUUUGAAAGUUCUUAUUAAAAAAAAAGAUUGCGACCUCGAUGUUGACUUAUAACUUCCUUUAGGUGCAGAAGUUUAAAGGGUGGGUCUGUUCGACCUUUAAAGUUUU